AUGAAUCUGCGGCGGAAGCUGGCGAGAGAGAGAGAGGAUCCAGCGCUCCAAAACGGGGCUGGAAGAUCAUGCUGCGCAGAAUCUCCCAUCCCUGGCAACGAUGCAGCUCGUGGAUUGCGGGCCUUCAAGCCCAAUAACGUGGUGAAGUUGUUAACCCUAGUUGACUCUAGGCAGGCCCAGGCCGCACACGUGGCAAUGGAUAUGGAUCAUCACUCUAUCCAUGUGUUUAUAUGUUGUGGUAUGGAGGUACAUACGAACAUAGCCACCCAUUUAUUUCAAUGCAUGUCCAUGCUUGUUCUGGCUUGCCUCUGUUCCAAGCUAGAGGAACUAUCAACUUAG
rnacentral:rRNA from 1 species